CUGGCUCAGGAUGAACGCUGGCGGCGUGCCUAAUACAUGCAAGUCGAGCGAACAGACAAGGAGCUUGCUCCUUUGACGUUAGCGGCGGACGGGUGAGUAACACGUGGGUAACCUACCUAUAAGACUGGGAUAACUUCGGGAAACCGGAGCUAAUACCGGAUAA
rnacentral:rRNA from 1 species